rnacentral:lncRNA from 1 species
GGCCCGAGGCCAGGAGAGGGAGUAGCCAGGCCAGGGGAUGGAAGAUGGAUGGGUUGGCCGGGCUCCAGGGCAGGUGUGAUUGUCCCUCCGCCAUUUGGCACCUCCCUUCUGCUGCAGAUAGAGCUGGCUCCUGCUGUUCCCCAGGCGUCUGCCUGGGCGUCCCUCACUGUCCCCACCCCAGCCCGCACCCCACUUCCCAUGCUCUCCUGUAGCUCUGAGCCUGGCUGCUGCGCUCAGACUUCCUGUAUAAACCUGCACGGAAUGGCUGAGACCUGCCGGGUCCAACUCUAGUUUCAUACUCUGGAGAUGCACGGGCCCCGCUGGCGCACGCUGGGUUGGUUCUUGGUGAGGCAGAAACUCCCAGGAAGGGAAGCGGCUCUGAGAAGCCCAGGCCUGACCUCCCUGGUCACUCGCGGGAGGAGAGUGGACUGCGCCCGCUCCCCGCACCCUGGCACUGGGCUGGGACCGGCCCUCGAGUGGCACCAGUGGCCUCAUCUCCUCUCAGGCUUCUCCUGCUCAGUAAAUGCAGCCGAUGAAACAGAGGACAAAAGUCGGAAAAUCCCGAUGGGCUGAGACAGCCUGGCUGCCUCCUUCUCGGGAGAGGUGGCCUUCGUGGGGCCUAAGCAGGUGGCUUCCUGGCCCCGACAUCUGGUCUGUGUGGCCAGGACCCGUGGGGGCGGGCGGCAUUUGUGCCCAUUGCUCGUGGGUCAGCUGAGGCGGGGAUAGCCGGGCCCAAAGCACGCAGCUGGGAAGCGCCAGCCUGGGCUCAGCGGGUGGCCCCAGCUCUGCAGCCACGGCCCAGGGGAGAGGUGGCAGCACCGGGCAGGAGAGUGACAGGGUCAUGUCUCUUUCACCUAAUUUGCCCCUGGUGGCAUUGCACGUGGCUGUGGCCACUGUCACAACCACGGCCCUGAUGCCAACCACUCCCCUCUCCCUGCCACUGCACUCCACAUCUGAUCUUUCCGGCCCAGGUGUCCAUCCCACAAGGCGACAGGUGUCCAGGUGUCCAGCGCCUGUGUCCAGGGGCCGGGCUGCAAGAAACGCCGCCUGCUCUGGACAUUUUGUGCAGGUGAAAGUAUGUAAUGUGCAGUCUUUUCAUCGGCUCCUUUCACUUCUAAAUGACUUUAAAGGCUCCUUCCUGCUGUGCGUGCUCAGAAUGCCCCUGCUGAGCCUACACCACUGUGCGAC